rnacentral:rRNA from 1 species
UACAGAGGGUGCAAGCGUUGUUCGGAAUUAUUGGGCGUAAAGGGCGCGUAGGCGGUGCCACAAGUCACCUGUGAAAUCUCCGGGCUUAACUCGGAGCCUGCAGGCGAAACUGUGGUGCUGGAGUGUGGGAGAGGUGCGUGGAAUUCCCGGUGUAGCGGUGAAAUGCGUAGAUAUCAGGAGGAACACCUGUGGCGAAAGCGGCGCACUGGACCACAACUGACGCUGAGGCGCGAAAGCUAGGGGAGCAAACAGG